AUGUGAAAGUCACACCCUUUCUCUAAUUCGUCUUCCUCUUCGAACCUCACUCCACCUACCAGACCAUCAGACGAACAACCAAUGUCGACCUCUCCAAACGGCUACUCUUGACUUGACUCCGGAACUCUUCCACAAGGGAUGAGGAUAGACGCUUCCUAUUUGGUCUCUUGAUACCCGACUCUGCUGAAACUCCCUACGGUGGAGAUCCCAUUCUUUCUACUCGGCCUAUUCACACUACUAGGGGGGUCUUCAUGAGACUGGGCGAGAGCCUAAAGAACUCUUGUAUCUGAGUGAUUGGCGGACGAUUUCAGUUAUGCUGCUGAGCCAGCAACGGGGCUCCUUUCUAUUUCCGACUAUCUCAAAUGUAGUCUGUCACCGCCAAUCGUCACCCACCGUCCAUCUCCGAAACUCCUCAUCCGCUGUCGGUGACAUUUUCUCAAACGCUAUUCAUCUUCUUCUCAACCUUCUAUUUCAGAUCCCAGCACUUUAGAAUCCAUUUUCAUUCAAAGGAGGGCUGAUGAUGACUCUGGGCAUCUUGGUUCUGUAGUGAGCAGAUAAUUUCUUUUCACAACUCGGCAGACGUUAUUUGUUAGUUUGUCCCUGGGUUUGUGGGCUUAUUCUUCGAGGUAUUCGACUACUUGCCUAGUCUUUUAGGUUUAUCCUCUGCUCAAUGAACUUGCAUUUAGUUCUUCUAGACUGGUCUCAACUUGUCAUUGUUAUUUUCUAUGUCACAAAUGAAAUAUCGUGACAACUACUGCUCACAUUUGUCAUUUUUGUGGGUGGAAAUGAAAUGUCGUGGUUAAAUAGCAAACUUAUUAAGUUUGGAAACUGACUGCAUAAACAAUUCUUCCACCUCAACUUGAAAUGUGCAAAAUUUUGAUCUGAGAGUUCUAAGAAGCAUAGUUGUUAAUCUACAACAACUUGCAUAGA